GACGGAGGUUGCAAGCGUUAUCCGGAAUUAUUGGGCGUAAAGCGUCCGCAGGUGGCCGUUCAAGUCUGCUGUCAAAGCCCGGGGCUUAACUUCGGAAAGGCAGUGGAAACUGAACAGCUAGAGUAUGGUAGGGGCAGAGGGAAUUCCUGGUGUAGCGGUGAAAUGCGUAGAGAUCAGGAAGAACAUCGGUGGCGAAGGCGCUCUGCUGGACCAUAACUGACACUCAGGGACGAAAGCUAGGGGAGCGAAUGGG
rnacentral:rRNA from 1 species